GAUCCUGGCUCAGGAUGAACGCUGGCGGCGUGCCUAACACAUGCAAGUCGAGCGGGAAAUCCGUGACGGAUCCUUCGGGUGACGGAUCGGAUGGAGAGCGGCGGACGGGUGAGUAACGCGUAGGUAACCUGCCCUGUACAGAGGGAUAGCCACUGGAAACGGUGAUUAAUACCUCAUAAUGCCGGAUCUGCACAUGCAGGACCGGUCAAAGUUUUUUCGGUACAGGAUGGACCUGCGU
rnacentral:rRNA from 1 species